GUUAGCCGAAAAGUUCAUCCCAGUUUUUCCAUAACAUCUUAUGGAAAAACUGGAAUGAAUUUUUUGGCCCAC
rnacentral:miRNA from 1 species